AAUGACAAACUUAUUCAAAAUGAUACCCGAGGGGAGCUGAAGAUCUCUGCAGUGUCAAAGUCUGAUGAAGGUUUCUACAAGUGUCAGUACUCAGGAAGAGAGUCAGCACAGAGCUGGAUGUCAGUUAAAGUAACUGUGUCAGGAGCUGACAGCUCUUCAUCUCCUGUGUGGUUGAUGGUUGGACUGGUUUGUGGAGUCUCUCUCAUUAUUAUUCUCCUGCUCUUGUUGUAUCGCUGCAGACAGUCCAAGUAUUCCUGCUUCACCAGGUCGAUCCAGUCUGAGAGUCACAGUCCGGGCU